CCCCUACUUAUAUACCCUACCAGACGAACAUAAUUAUUCAUACUCCUCAGAAUCCUGUUCAAUGUUCAACCCCGAGGAGUACAUUGUCAUAAGUCUAUUAAUCCAGUACAUUUCCCUAAUCGUUGCUUCUGCUGGGUUGGUUUUGUAAUUAUGACUAUAUCACAAUCAUUCAUUAAGCCAUUAUGGUUUUCACCUAAGAAAUGCGAAUGAAAAAAGGCUUGUGUAUGAGCUUUGUUGGACAUUGAUUUAUAAUUGUUCCAUCGAAAUAUAUAUAUAUAUAUAUAUAU